rnacentral:rRNA from 1 species
AAGCAGCUUGCUGCUUCGCUGACGAGUGGCGGACGGGUGAGUAAUGUCUGGGAAACUGCCUGAUGGAGGGGGAUAACUACUGGAAACGGUGGCUAAUACCGCAUAACGUCGCAAGACCAAAGAGGGGGACCUUCGGGCCUCUUGCCAUCAGAUGUGCCCAGAUGGGAUUAGCUUGUUGGUGAGGUAACGGCUCACCAAGGCGACGAUCCCUAGCUGGUCUGAGAGGAUGACCAGCCACACUGGAACUGAGACACGGUCCAGACUCCUACGGGAGGCAGCAGUGGGGAAUAUUGCACAAUGGGCGCAAGCCUGAUGCAGCCAUGCCGCGUGUAUGAAGAAGGCCUUCGGGUUGUAAAGUACUUUCAGCGGGGAGGAAGGUGUUGUGGUUAAUAACCGCAGCAAUUGACGUUACCCGCAGAAGAAGCACCGGCUAACUCCGUGCCAGCAGCCGCGGUAAUACGGAGGGUGCAAGCGUUAAUCGGAAUUACUGGGCGUAAAGCGCACGCAGGCGGUCUGUCAAGUCGGAUGUGAAAUCCCCGGGCUCAACCUGGGAACUGCAUUCGAAACUGGCAGGCUUGAGUCUUGUAGAGGGGGGUAGAAUUCCAGGUGUAGCGGUGAAAUGCGUAGAGAUCUGGAGGAAUACCGGUGGCGAAGGCGGCCCCCUGGACAAAGACUGACGCUCAGGUGCGAAAGCGUGGGGAGCAAACAGGAUUAGAUACCCUGGUAGUCCACGCCGUAAACGAUGUCUACUUGGAGGUUGUGCCCUUGAGGCGUGGCUUCCGGAGCUAACGCGUUAAGUAGACCGCCUGGGGAGUACGGCCGCAAGGUUAAAACUCAAAUGAAUUGACGGGGGCCCGCACAAGCGGUGGAGCAUGUGGUUUAAUUCGAUGCAACGCGAAGAACCUUACCUGGUCUUGACAUCCACGGAAGUUUUCAGAGAUGAGAAUGUGCCUUCGGGAACCGUGAGACAGGUGCUGCAUGGCUGUCGUCAGCUCGUGUUGUGAAAUGUUGGGUUAAGUCCCGCAACGAGCGCAACCCUUAUCCUUUGUUGCCAGCGGUUAGGCCGGGAACUCAAAGGAGACUGCCAGUGAUAAACUGGAGGAAGGUGGGGAUGACGUCAAGUCAUCAUGGCCCUUACGACCAGGGCUACACACGUGCUACAAUGGCGCAUACAAAGAGAAGCGACCUCGCGAGAGCAAGCGGACCUCAUAAAGUGCGUCGUAGUCCGGAUUGGAGUCUGCAACUCGACUCCAUGAAGUCGGAAUCGCUAGUAAUCGUGGAUCAGAAUGCCACGGUGAAUACGUUCCCGGGCCUUGUACACACCGCCCGUCACACCAUGGGAGUGGGUUGCAAAAGAAGUAGGUAGCUUAACCUUCGGGAGGGCGCUUACCACUUUGUGAUUCAUGACUGGGGUGAAGUCGUAACAAGGUAACCGUAGGGGAACCUGCGGUUGGAUCACCUCCUUACCUUAAAGAA